ACACGCACACACACACACACACACACACACACACACACACACACACACACACACACACACACACACACAGACACACACACAGACACACUAACACACACACACACUGAGUCAGAGGAAUGUGUGUUUGAACCAGUGAGGUGAAUGAUUUCACAGACGUCUGAGCAGGAAAACUUUAUUACUCCUUCACACACAGACAGACACACACACACAUAGACACAGAUGCACACUAACACAAGCACACACACAUAGACACAGAAACACAAAUACACAUAUACACUGACACAGAUACACACUUGUUUUUCUGUGUUUUUUUGUUCUAGUUUGGUUUGUUUCAUUGUUGUUGUGUUUCUGUUAUCAUUGUGUUGUUGUAGUUGUGUUGUUGUUGUUUUGUGUUGUUGUGAUGGUGUUUUUGUUGUUGCUGUGUUCCUGCUGUCAUUGUGUUGUUUGUUGUUGCCGUUAUUGUUAUCAUUGUGUUGUGUUGUUCCUGUUGUUGUCGUUGUGUUGUCUUCGUUGUUGUGCUUUUGUUAUCAUUGUGUUGUUGUUGUUGUCAUUGUUGUGUUGUUGUUGUUGUUGUUGUUGUCAUUGUUGUGUUGUUGUUGUUGUUGCCUAUAGUGUUGUUGUUGAAAAUCUCCCCCCUCUCUGUGUUGUUGAUGUUGUUGUUGUUGUUUUUGUUGUUGUUGUGUUGUUAUUGUUGUUGUGUUCCUGCUGUAGUUGUGUUGUUGUAGUUGUGUAGUUUUUGUUGCCUAUAGUGUUGUUGUUGUUGUUUUGUGUUGUUGUGAUGGUGUUGUUGUUGUUGUGAUGGUGUUGUUGUUGUUGUAGUUGUGUUGUUGUUGUCAUAUCGCUGUUAUCAUUGUGUUGUUGUAGUUGCCUAUAGUGUUGUUGUUGUUGUUGUUGUUGUGUUGUUAUUGUCGUUGUGUUCCUGCUGUAGUUGUGUUGUUGUUGUUGUUGCCUAUAGUGUUGUUGUUAAAAGUCUCCCCUCUCUGUGUUGUUUUUGUUGUUUUUGUUGUUGUUUUGUUGUUGUUGUUUUGUGUUGUUGUGAUGGUGUUGUUGUUGUCAUUGUGUUGUUGUAGUUGUGUUGUUGUUGUUGUUGUUGUUAAAAAUUUCCCCCCCUCUCUGUGUUGUUGUUGUUGUUGUCAUUGUGUUGUUGAUGUUGUUGUUGUUGUUGUUGUUGUUGUUGUUGUUGUUGUCAUUGUGUUGUUGUUGUUGUUGUUGUUGUUAAAAAUCUCCCCCUCUCUCUG